AACGAACGCUGGCGGCAGGCCUAACACAUGCAAGUCGAACGCAUCGCAAGAUGAGUGGCGCACGGGUGAGUAACACGUGGGAAUGUAUCCUUUGGUUCGGAAUAACGUCUGGAAACGAACGCUAAUACCGGAUGAGCCCUUAGGGGGAAAGAUUUAUCGCCGAAGGAGCAGCCCGCGUCUGAUUAGGUAGUUGGUGGGGUAAAGGCCUACCAAGCCGACGAUCAGUAGCUGGUCUUAGAGGAUGAUCAGCCACACUGGGACUGAGACACGGCCCAGACUCCUACGGGAGGCAGCAGUGGGGAAUAUUGGACAAUGGGCGCAAGCCUGAUCCAGCCAUGCCGCGUGAGUGAUGAAGGCCUUCGGGUUGUAAAGCUCUUUCGCACACGACGAUGAUGACGGUAGUGUGAGAAGAAGCCCCGGCUAACUUCGUGCCAGCCGCCGCAGUAAUAC
rnacentral:rRNA from 1 species